GAUGAACGCUGGCGGCGUGCCUAAUACAUGCAAGUCGAGCGAACAGACGAUGAGUUUGUUCCUUCUCCUUUUGCCGCGCAGGUGUGUGUUACACGUAGAUAACCCACCUAUCAGACUGGGAUAACUUCGAGAAACCGGAGCUUAUCUCAGACAAUAUUUCGAACCACAUGGUUCCAUAGUGAAAUAUGGCUUUUCUAUCACUUAUUGAUGUAUCUGCGCCGUAUUAGCUAGUUGGUAAGGUAACGGCUUACCAAGUCAACGAUCCGUAGCCGACCUGAGAGGGUGAUCGGCCACACUGGAAAUGAGACACGGUCCAGACUCCUACGGGAGGCAGCAGUAGGGAAUCUUCCGCAAUGGGCGAAAGCCUGACGGAGCAAAGCCGCGUGAGUGAUGAAGGUCUUCGGAUCGUAAAACUCUGUUAUUAGGGAAGAACAAACGUGUAAGUAACUGUGCACGUCUUGACGGUACCUAAUCAGAAAGCCACGGCUAACUACGUG
rnacentral:rRNA from 1 species